AUACGUAGGGUGCGAGCGUUGUCCGGAAUUACUGGGCGUAAAGAGCUCGUAGGUGGUUUGUCGCGUCGUCUGUGAAAUUCCGGGGCUUAACUCCGGGCGUGCAGGCGAUACGGGCAUAACUUGAGUACUGUAGGGGAGACUGGAAUUCCUGGUGUAGCGGUGAAAUGCGCAGAUAUCAGGAGGAACACCGGUGGCGAAGGCGGGUCUCUGGGCAGUAACUGACGCUGAGGAGCGAAAGCAUGGGUAGCGAACAGGAUUAGAUGCCCUGGUAGUCCAUGCUGUAAACGGUGGGCGCUAGGUGUAGGGGUCUUCCACGACUUCUGUGCCGUAGCUAACGCAUUAAGCGCCCCGCCUGGGGAGUACGGCCGCAAGGCUAAAACUCAAAGGAAUUGACGGGG
rnacentral:rRNA from 1 species